GCUGGGCAUGGUGGCUCAUGCCUGUAAUCCUAGUGCCUUGGGAAGCUGAGGCAGGAGAAUCUUAAGUUUGAGGCCAGCCGCAGCAACUUAGUGGAACACUAAGCAACUUAAUGAGCCUUUCUCAC
rnacentral:sRNA from 1 species